UGGGGAAUAUUGGACCAUGGGGGCAACCCUGAUCCAGCCAUGCCGCGUGAGUGAUGAAGGCCCUAGGGUUGUAAAGCUCUUUUGGCAGGGACGAUAAUGACGGUACCUGCAGAAUAAGCCCCGGCUAACUUCGUGCCAGCAGCCGCGGUAAUACGAAGGGGGCUAGCGUUGUUCGGAAUUACUGGGCGUAAAGCGCGCGUAGGCGGACUGGUCAGUUGGGGGUGUAAUCCCGGGGCUCAACCUCGGAACUGCCUUCAAUACUGCCAGUCUCGAGUCCGGGAGAGGUGAGUGGAAUUCCUAGUGUAGAGGUGAAAUUCGUAGAUAUUAAGAAGAACACCAGUGGCGAAGGCGGCUCACUGGCCCGGUACUGACGCUGAGGUGCGAAAGCGUGGGGAGCAAACAGGAUUAGAUACCGCUGUAGUCC
rnacentral:rRNA from 1 species